GCAUUUCAGUCGAAUGAUUCUUUAAAGUGUGACGAGGUAAGUAGGAUACUUCCAGACGCGCAGAAUAAUAUAUCCUUCUCGUAUGUUUGUUUUCAUAAUUCAAUUUGCUACUUUUUAAACGUCAAAUGUAUUUAUGUACUGAAAGGAGGUGGUUAUUAUUAUUUGUAACUCAAAACAAAACAUAUUUUUUAAUUUUUUUUUUAUUUUCAGAUUAUUAUGUACUUCAAUUGUAUCAAAGUGCGUCAUCGUUAAAAAAAUGGAAUAAAGCACAAUUAUUUCAAAUGAUGUUUCACCUCUCACAAAUGGGAAUGGCAAGAGUAAAACAACGCUGUCGCCGUCGAAUGCUAUCAACCAGACUGCAAAUGGAAUUGUAUACAAUAAAGAGUAACAUAAACAAAACUGAAACGGAAAAGCACCUACGGGAGCAGCAGUAUCAGGAAGAGGAGAAUUCUAUGAUGAUCCUAAUCGGAGCAAAUCUUCAUUCGAAAAGGUUCCUCUACACACAGCCUUCCUAGUAUUUUUUGGCUUUUACCUGCUCAUGAUAUUGGGCUACAUCAAUCAAUUUAUGUGUGCCCCAAAAGUAGCUAAAGAAAAUAAUCGAGAGGGCUAAGUUACGCUAUACGAUGCCUUCGAGAGCUUCUAUUCAGGGUAUGUCUAUCGGAAGGUCAGAGAUUGCUGGAAUUUCCCAAUUUGCAGAUCGCAUAACCAAGGAUUACAUUUGGACAUUUGAGUUCACUUUAAAAGAAACAAGAUGCUUGAACAGCGUUGCAGAACAGACGGCUUGGCUUUAGGCAGUCCCCGUUGUGAAGUAUGUUGGAGUGUUCGAUUGUCCAAAGUAAUUGCAUUGAAAAAGAAAUACAAACCUUAUUUGUAUUUGUAUGAGACGCAUAGUGUGGUAGCGAUGGGACCAAAUGGUCGCGGUAUUGUCGACUAUUAUGGCGCCGAUCCGAAAGAUGUUGAUAUUCUAAUGGGAAAAUUUAAAAAGAGCUUUGGCAGUGCUGGUGGUUUUAUUGCUGGAACAAAGAGCUGUAGGUCGAACACAAACUUUCCGUAAGGUAGCGGUUGUUGGAGUUGGGUUUCCUGCCACUAUAAUUGUGGAAGGACGUACAUAUACGCUUAAGAGCAGUUUGAUUAUGCCUACAAAGUGAUU